rnacentral:rRNA from 1 species
GACGAACGCUGGCGGCGUGCUUAACACAUGCAAGUCGAACGGAAAGGCCCUGCUUGCAGGGUACUCGAGUGGCGAACGGGUGAGUAACACGUGGGUGAUCUGCCCUGCACUUCGGGAUAAGCCUGGGAAACUGGGUCUAAUACCGGAUAGGAGCCAUUUUUAGUGUGAUGGUUGGAAAGUUUUUUUCGGUGUAGGAUGAGCUCGCGGCCUAUCAGCUUGUUGGUGGGGUAAUGGCCUACCAAGGCGGCGACGGGUAGCCGGCCUGAGAGGGUGGACGGCCACAUUGGGACUGAGAGACGGCCCAGACUCCUACGGGAGGCAGCAGUGGGGAAUAUUGCACAAUGGGCGCAAGCCUGAUGCAGCGACGCCGCGGGGGGGAUGACGGCCUUCGGGUUGUAAACUCCUUUCGCUAGGGACGAAGCUUUUUGUGACGGUACCUAGAUAAGAAGCACCGGCUAACUACGUG